UACGUAGGCAGCGAGCGUUGUUCGGAAUUACUGGGCGUAAAGAGUGUGUAGGCGGUGCUCUAAGUUCGGUGUGAAAUCUCCUGGCUCAACUGGGAGGGUGCGCCGGAAACUGGAGUGCUUGAGCGUGGGAGAGGAAAGCGGAAUUCCUGGUGUAGCGGUGAAAUGCGUAGAUAUCGGGAGGAACACCCGUGGCGAAGGCGGCUCUCUGGGACGGUACUGACGCUGAGACGCGAAAGCGUGGGGAGCGAACAGG
rnacentral:rRNA from 1 species